rnacentral:rRNA from 1 species
UGGGGAAUUUUGGACAAUGGGCGAAAGCCUGAUCCAGCAAUGCCGCGUGUGUGAAGAAGGCCUUCGGGUUGUAAAGCACUUUUGUCCGGAAAGAAAUCCUUGGCUCUAAUACAGUCGGGGGAUGACGGUACCGGAAGAAUAAGCACCGGCUAACUACGUGCCAGCAGCCGCGGUAAUACGUAGGGUGCAAGCGUUAAUCGGAAUUACUGGGCGUAAAGCGUGCGCAGGCGGUUUGCUAAGACCGAUGUGAAAUCCCCGGGCUCAACCUGGGAACUGCAUUGGUGACUGGCAGGCUAGAGUAUGGCAGAGGGGGGUAGAAUUCCACGUGUAGCAGUGAAAUGCGUAGAGAUGUGGAGGAAUACCGAUGGCGAAGGCAGCCCCCUGGGCCAAUACUGACGCUCAUGCACGAAAGCGUGGGGAGCAAAACAGGAUUAGAUACCCUGGUAGUCCACGCCCUAAAACGAUGUCAACUAGGUUGUUGGGGAUUCAUUUCCUUAGUAACGUAGCUAACGCGUGAAGUUGACCGCCUGGGGAGUACGGUCGCAAGAUUAAAACUCAAAUGAAUUGACGGGGUCAUAGCUGUUUCCU